rnacentral:lncRNA from 1 species
GAUGCCUUUUAUAAUGAGGAAGUUAAAAAGAUAAUUAUGGAAAUUAAUUCCUGAACUGCUAUGGCCUGUGAACUCUACCAAGCAGAACUUUGAAUGUGAAGGGCAUAGCUGCAAUACAGAGCUAAAAUGGGAAAACCUCAUCUUAGCAGUCUCUUAGGGGGUGAGCUGAUCUUUUUUUCAUACAACCCCACACAGUCAUCUUUAACAAGGGUGUCAUGCAUGAGUUUGUGUGUGUGUGCAUGUACUCUGUGGUAUGAUCACAUGCCUGUGAGUGUCCCGUCACCUGAUGCAUAUUAGCCAAUGCAUGUUCUAUUAACCAAUCAAUUUAUUGAGCUAAAUAGGCUAAAUCAAACUAAAUGACAUCAACUUGCUCUACAAGGCUAGAAAUGAAUUGGGACAAGUGUGUUUUAAAUGCUAGUCAGAAUGCAUGGGUGAAAAAGGAAAGAAUAAGAGAAGAGAGAAAAGAGAAUCGAAUCCCUGAUCUACUCAUUUCUUCCCAUUCCCAGCAACUGCCUAAUCUACUUUUGCAGAUAGAUUAGAAAAUACCCCAGCCUGCAGAACCUUGUCAGCACCCUACCACAUUAGGCUGAUGCCAAGCUCAAGGCAUGAAGAAAUUCAAGAUCAAUGCUGAGAAAUGCAUUUCUUAGGUUCUUAAGUAGUCUUUGGUCAUAAUCUGAUUUCUUUUCAACCAAUCCAACUUCUUUCCAGCUCUGUGCUUUGGAUAAUAGGAAGGGCCAUAAGCACACUCCAAAUGUGGAUUCUGAGAAGUCACUUCAGAAACAGUCUUCCUGGAAUUCUGUGUGGUUUUGAGCGGAAUAUCAAUCAGUAAUAUCCAUGUACUGCUAAAAUGGAAGGAGAAAGGACUAUAUAUUUCUAUUUUCUCAUACUGCCAAGGUGCACACCUCCUAUAAUUUUCAGAGACCCACACUAUAAUUCACUCUGUCCUAUGAUCUGCCUCUUUUCUCUCUCUCAUUAGAUUUAAUUCAGUAAUCACACCCUACAAGCCAUUCAGGCAGAAAUACCCUUGCUGAUUGCAACUUUCACCAGCUAGUCUGUGAAUAUUGCUGUUAUGUGUGUGUAUAUACAUGUAUGUGUGUAUCUGCAUAUGAGAGAAUGAAAAAGAAUGUUGUCUUCAGCACAAGCUGCCUUCUCUGUUUUUUUAGCUAUUAUUAAAUUUACUGGAGUAUAAUUGAUUUACAAUAUUGUGUUUAUUUCAGAAAACAGUUCUGGGAUUUUCUAGUCUCACCUUUACAAUGAAUAAUUUUUAAUUUGCACAAAUUUGGAUCACUGCGUACUUUUAUCUUGCAUUUACAUUUAUAUAUGUUUUAGUAAGGGGAGGAUAAACAAAAGGAGACAAGAAUAAGUAUACGGCAAUAAACACAGAAAAUAGUUUUUCUUUAAUGGAGAAAGUAAUUACAUAGAUACACAACGUGUACUGUCAACCUUCAAGAAUCUUAGGAUGAAAAAUAUUUUUUAUCACUUAAUUAGAAGGGCUUUCUAAGAAAUGUAACUUGAGAAAAUAGAGUGAGGGGGAGGGAAAGGGAAGUUAAUAUUUAUUAGACAUCUACUAUGUAUUCAAACACAGUGGUAGCUGUGUUUGUACAGAAUAGCUAAUCUAAUCCUCUGAACAGCCUUUGAAAUAAGUAGUGUUAGCCCUAAUUUUUGAUAGCUGUGGAAACUGGAACUCCAAUAAGUUAAUUCAUUUACCUAAAAUCAUACAAGUAAAUGGUGAACAGCCAAUUUGAUUUCAGAUUAGUUGACUUCAAAAGGUAAAUUUUCCUGGAUUUAUUUGGGGAAACUUUUUUUUCUAUGCAUGAUAAAACAUCUCUGAUGAUUAGGUUACCAUCUGUGGUUAGAAAUAAUAAGAUGUAUGAUACGGGACACUUUGUCUUCUCAAUCUAGGACAUGAAUGUAAAAUUCUGCUGUUUUGUGCAGAGUUUGUAGAAGUUCCAAGAUUUCUUAGGUGAGCAGUUUUCUGGUUGUUGGCCCUACCUGGGUGCCUGAGGUAUAUUCACAGCCUUAUUAGUUCUUUCAUAGACCCAGGGAAGAAGAGCCCUGCACUGGGUCCCACACUUCUCCACCUGGCCCUUCCAUGGCCAUAUCUCUCCUUGUAGGGUGAAGGGUACCCUCUCCUACCCUGUGCACUGAUAUCCCAGUACCCACUGCCCAAGAAUCCCAGACACAUUUCCUAGGUCUGCACUGGCAUCUUGCUUGUCCUGGAAAGGGAUGGCCCAGGCAAGUUUUCAGGGGCUGUCAAGGAGUAUGAACAUGAGGGUAAGGGCUCCUCCCAAACACACUCUACGGCUGAGGCCAGGACAGGUUGAGAAGUAGAGAAAUUCAUGGGCAGAGACCAAUAGUUAGGGUGGCUCUUCCAGCUCCACCUUCCUCAGACACAGAACUUCAAGCUGUUGAGGAUUCUAAAUGGAGGUCCAGCAGAUGGAGGGUUUGGGGAAUGGACUGUGGGGGGUUGGGAUUGGCAUAUACACACUGAGGUAUAUGGAGUCAUUGGCCAAUGGGGACCUGCUAUAUAGCACUGAAAAGUCUACCAAAUAUUCUAUGAUAAUCUAUGUGGGAAAAGAAUCUGAAAGAGAAUAGAUGUGUGCAUGUGUGUAACUGAAUCACUUUGUUGUACAGCAUAAAUUAUCACAACCUUAUAAAUCAACUAUACUUCAAUAAAGCUGUAAAAAAAAAUAUUUGAAAAAUAAAUGGAGGGGGAGUUCCCGUCGUGGCGCAGUGGUUAACAAAUCCGACCAGGAACCAUGAGGUUGCGGAUUUGAUCCCUGGCCUUGCCCAAUGGGUUAAGUAUUGGCAUUGCCGUGAGCUGUGGUGUAUGUCACUGAUGCAGUUCGGAUCCCGUGUUGCUGUGGCUCUGACGUAGGCCAGUGGCUACAGUUCCAAUUAGAUCCCUGGCCUGGGAACCUCCAUAUGCUGCAGGUGUGGCCUUAGAAAAAAGGCAGAAAAGACCAAAAUAAAUAAAUAAAUGGAGUCCCGGCCUUCUAGGAGGAUAUGAUGGUAUUAUUUUGAUAAUAGCCCACAGGUCUCUAUUUGUAAUGUUGUCCUGGACCACAUAUAUAAUCAACUUGAAUAUUACACUACUCUGAUUAUAUUUUACUGUGUAAAGGGGAUCCACCUUGGUACGUUCAAAUGUGAUUAUAGUUUUAAACAAAUUUCAGGCGACCCUUUUUUCUCCAGCUUCCUCCAAUGCUGAGGAACAGAGAUCUGACCACUUAGAAAGCAGUCUCCCUUGAACACCAGCGUCCCGACACUGGUUCCCUUCCCCUGGCAGCCGUACAGGCAACUCAUCUCCUCUCCCAUAAAAAUGUGCUUAUGAUGGCGGGGCGUGGGUCUCAACGGCUUCUCUUAAUGCCAAACUUGUAGAGUUGUGAUGAAAAUUAAAGAAAAUAAAUGUAAAAUCAUAGUAAGUAUAGUGUUUGAUAAAAGAACACACUGACUCACUGAGUAGAUACACAGUAAAUGGUGAUUUCCUUCCUGGCCCUUCCCUUCUGCUGGAGCAGUCUUUUUAUAUCAGCUGGAAACAUGAGGAUUCCACAGCUCUCAGGUCGAUUGAACUUUGUUCAGCACACACAUUUACCACUCUCCAUUGUGUCAUAAAUAGAAGAGGCUAAUGAGGCCUGAGAUACCCUUUUAUCGGGUCCCUCACUAUUAAACACCCAGCUCAACUCAAGAGCCACCUUGCAUGUCCCCUCCUGCUUUUGCUCAUCCUUACCCUUGGCUUUACUCUUAGACCACACCCCUCCCCCACGCACUCAUUUCCCCGAAGUAUGGUCACUUCAUCUCUGUCCUUGGGCUUUUAGUCAGAUGAAUGUAAAACACUUAUCCUAGAGACCUGGCCUGAGUUGGUACAAAAUGUCACAGUGCAUUUGCUUAAAAAAGUAAAAAUAAAGUCAUCUGUGCUAUUUAUCUCUUGCUGUCCACAGAGAAAUGGCAGUUGCUGAUUUUAAUCUAUUGUGAUGGAGUGUUGCUUAGCCUAAAACACUCUGCUUUUCUCACACACGGAUGCAGAACUAAAAUCCACAGAAGCGGCUGGCCAAUUGCUUGAACUAGAGGUGCACGAGCUGUCCCCCCACAGAGAAUUUUCUCUUUCUCAUUCUCUGCUUUGCAUGCUCUUAGCAUAUUGAGAGUGACUUAUAUUUGGGAUUGCAUCUUUUCUUUUUUUGCAUUAAAUCAGCAUGCAGUGUGUGGUACAUUUCAGAUUUAAAUAUGCAGCAACUCUGUAUGGGGCAAGAUGGGAAGAAAAUAUGCCCUGUGGCCCUGGCUAUGUUUUAAAACUAAAGUGAUGAGAGAGUAGAACCAGAGGCAAGUAUUCUGAAGAUACUAUUAUUAGGGGCAUUUCUCUGUUGAUUUCUUAAGCAGCCUUUGCAUUAAUAAGAGUUUUGGUAUUAGGAUAGCUUAACGAGGUGCUAAUUAGUGAAGAAGAACUGAGCCCUCUGUUAAGUUCCCCAAACUGCAUUGUUUACAAGGGGUCAGAUGUUCUCUGCAUAUUUCUACAUGAGCAAAAUAAUUACAGUACAUUCUAAUCUCAUUUCAAAUAUCAUCCAACCAACCUGUUUUCAACCUGUGUAUGCACACACAUGUUCGCCUAUGCACGCGCGCGCGCGUGCACAUUCACACACACACAGUUUAAGACAGUACAAGCCGAGUGGACUAAAAGUGGAUUAUAGAAAAUGGAAGGAAUCUGAUCCCCUCAUCUCUAUUCAUUUCUCCUGGAGUUAACUGCUGACUUAUCGACAAUGAAUUUGGGCUCAGCUUGAGUCAGUCACAUAUUUCAUUUAGAACCGACAGGUUACAAUCUACCUAUUGGCAUCCUGCUGGUAUCACGUGACACACUUAUGAUGUCUGUUGCAUGCCAGCCAUGUUCCAGAUGAACAUCUUUGGGUGAGUUAUUCCCCACAACUAUUAAAUUAGAAACAGUGCUUGUCUCAAGCCCAAGAGACAGAAGAAGCUAGGGUGAAUUUAGCAGCACUGAGAGAGCCCUUUUGCACACUAAAAACAGUGAGGCAGUAACAGGACAACUUCCAAACCCACUUAAUAAAACCUAUUUAUUUAAUAAAAGACUGCUAAGCCUUUGCCUAAUUAGAAAGAAAGCUUCAAUGUAAAUAUCACUCAAAGAUAACAUUGGUUCCAAGCCAUCACGCAAAUUUAUUUCUGGGGUAAAUUAAUUAAAUGCAAUUCAAUGAAAUGUUGUCUGUUAUGUUUUUUGAGAACCUAUUUCUGUGUCAUAUGCUAUGAAAUAUUCUAAGGUCAUACUUAAAGCUAGGGCAUUUUUAAAGACAGACCCAUGAUAAUUCCUCAUGUGAAUAUGGUUACAGUUAUUCACUCUCACUUCUCUCAUUUCCAAGUAACUAUCGUAAAGGACCACACAAAUAUUUCCAUGGCUCAGAAGGAGCACUCCCAUCCAAUUUUUGAAGUAUAGAGGGGCUGUUAUGACAAAGCUGGUAUUUAGUUUGGCCUAGAAUAAUGAAAAUCACUUCCUUAAGUGGACUUGGAAUCGGGGUUUCUUAGGUAUCCAUAAUAACAGCAAAGCCAUUGAGAUUUGGAAAAUUCUAGGUCAUUUUUUUGGAAGGUGCCUGUAGUUUUAUUUAGCUGGAAUUUUGGUCAUGCUGCUUCAAUUCUAUGUCAUAUAGGGUCUUAAGUGUCAGGUAAAGUAAUUAGAAUAUAAUUGAAAGUAGUGAGUGGCUAAUGAUGGUUUUUAAGCAUAAGAUAAUAAGAUGAUAGCUGUAUUCUAAAAAGAUUAAUCUAUCAGUGCUAUGGGAAAGUAAAAAGACCAAGUAUUUCAGGUAAAGGACAAAAUGUGUCUCAAUUACAGUGAUACCACUGUGGAAAGGAACCUGUUUUAUGAAAAAACUGCCAAGGCUGACACUGUUAGACUGUGUCAAGGUAAGGAAAAGGAAGCAUCUGAGAUUAAAAGCUAUGUAGUUUAGAACUGAUGCCUGAAAUAGUGAAGGCAAAAUGAAUAACAAAAGACAUGAAGAGGAAAA